rnacentral:rRNA from 1 species
UGAACCUGGUUGAUCCUGCCAGUAGUCAUAUGCUUCGUUCAAGGACUAAGCCAUGCAUGUCUCAGCGUACACGGCUUCCCACAGUGGGUCUGUGAAUGGCUCCUUACAUCAGCAGUCAUCUCAGUGAUAGAGUGUGAAUGGCACCACACCUGCCAGGUGCCCGCUUGGACAUCCUCCAAAACCUAGUGGCUAAU